ensembl:lncRNA
ACUCAAUACCUACUAUGUCCUAUGCUCUGUUCAAGAAACUUGGAAUACAUUAGUGAGCAAAACAAAGAUCUUUGACCCACGGAGUUAUGUACUAGUGGUUAGACAGGCAGUAGAGACUGGAACAUGAUAUGUAAUUAACAACCACAGUGUGUGAGCAUGAUAAUGACUGUGUAGAAAGGAAAGGAAAGAAAGGAAAAUGGGCAGCAGGAUAAAGUGCUAGGCAGUGCAUCUCUCCUUUCUGCUGCUUUAAGCACUGGCCAUACCCUUCUCAAAACCACUCUUUGCAGCCAAUGGAGCUGCCUUGCCGAGAUAGGCCUAGAAGGUUCUGUAUCCUCUUAUUUCACGUCUAGGAGCUGGCUUGCAUGCACUCAUCAGCUGUAUGGGUCUAUUAGCAUGCCCAAGAUGGGCAACUCAGUGAUGCCAUUUAUAGUUAAAACUAGACGUCCCAGGGAGUCAGGCUAGGGUCCUCCCACUAAACCACAUCUUUAUCUAGCUUCUUUCCUGCCCUGUCCAGCUUCUCUCUCUCCAACAAGCUACACCUGAAACACUCCCUCAUUAACUCACUUGCCCAGGAGCCUCUACUUCAGUUCCUAAGGAGCCUCCAAACUGAGCUCGGCCACAGUGAAAGGGGAAUAGGUGUGCUGAUAGCAGAGCAGGGGUCUUAUCAAAGGAUUAAGUAGCAUAGUCAAAAUGGAAGAAAUGGGACUUGAUCAAAGACCUGAAGAAGAUGAGAGACUCAGCCAAGAGGAGAAACACUGCAGGCAGAGGGCAGAGUUAGAGCAAGGCCCUGUGGUAGAGAGAAUAUCACGCUUCCAGAAGACCACAUCCUCAUCUGUAGAACUUGUGAACAUGUUAGGCUACAUAGCAAAGGGCAAUCACGGUUGGAUCAAGGCUGCCAAUCACGUGACCUUAAAGUAGCAUAGUCCUGGAUUACUCAGAUGGGCUCAAUGCAGUCCUAAGAGUCCUUGAAAGUGGGAGAGGGAGGCGGAAGAGGAAGUCAGGGGGAGGCAGGAGGUGGAGUCAGAGUCAGAGGAAGCUGUGCCUGUGGGGGAGAGACAGAAAAGAGUCAUGUUUCUGGCUUUGAAGACAGAGGAGAGGGUCAUGAGCCAAGAAAUGUGGACAGCCUCAAGAAACUGGAAAAGGUACACAGUAGAAUCACACUUCUCCACCCACCUGGAAUUAGGUGUGCACGUCUCAUUUGUUUUGGUCACUGAACUAUGAAUUAACACAAGAAUGAAUCAAAGUGACAUGCCUUCGUAGGGAUUCAGGAUUAUGUUUGCACUGUCAUCCUCUGCUUUGCCUUAGCGUCUCCUGCCUGGACUCAGCUCCUGAGAGUUGGACUCUAAAGAAAGCUGAGUGCAGAAGAAUUGAUGCUUUUGAACUGUGGAGAAGAACUCUUGAGAAUCCCUUGGACUGCAAGGAGAUCCAACCAGUCCAUCCUAAAGGAGACCAGUCCUGGGUGUUCAUUGGAAGGACUGAUGUUGAAGCUGAAACUCCAAUACUUUGGCCACCUGAUGCGAAGAGCUGACUCAUUUGAAAAGACCCUGAUGCUGGGAAAGACUGAGGGUAGGAGGAGAAGGGGACGAUAGAGGAUGAGAUGGUUGGAUGGCAUCACCCACUCAAUGGACAUGAGUUUGGGUAAACUCUGGGAGUUGGUGAUAGACAGGGAGGCCUGGCAUGCUGUGGUUCAUGGGGUUGCAAAGAGUCAGGCAUGACUGAACUGAACUGAUAGCUCCUGAUUGACUUUUGAAUUUUUCAGUUUUGGACUACUUUAAAGAAUGCUAUGGUGAACAUUAUAAAUACAUAUUUUGGUACAAAUGUGGAUGCACUUGUGUUGAGUAUAUUCCCAAAGAGUGCAGUUGUUGGGUUGUAGGAACAUUUGCCUUUAUAAAUAUUACCACUUUUCCCAACUGGUUAUACCAAUUUUUAUUUCAAGCUGCCAUCCAUAUAUGAGUGUCCCUUGAUCCAGAUCUUGAUAGCACUUGGUAUUGUUAGUAUCUUCAAUCUUAGCUAAUUAAUGAGCAUAUAAUUAUAUUCAUUGUGGUUUUAGGUUCCAGUUCAUGAUGAAUAAUGAGAUUGGCCACAUUUUCACAUGCUUUUUGGCAAUUUGGAUAUCUUUUCUGUGAAGUGCCUGUUCAAACAUUCUGAGCAUUUGAAAACUUGGUUGCUGGCUUGGUUUAUUGUAGGAGUUUUUAAUGUAUUCUGUAUUUCAUUCCUUUGUCAGUUCUAUAUGGGGCAAGUGUUUUUUACUCUGUGGCCUUCUUAUAAAGGGAUCUUUGGAUAAACUUCCCCUGGAGAAGGAGUUGGCAACCCACUCCAGUAUUCUCGCCUGGGAAAUCCCACAGACAGAGGAGCCUGGAGAGCUACAGUCCAUGGGGUCACAAAGAGUCAGACAUGACUGACUGAGUGAUAGCAAUAGCAUUGAUAAACUUCACCUUUAAAUUUUAAUGAAGUCCAGUUUGUUAAGGUUUUUCAUUUUGGUUUGUGUUUUAAAAAAAUGUCUGUGUAGAAGAUGUUAUUUUUGAUAAUGUUUAUUAUUUUACCUUUCCCUUUUUUGAUCUGUGGGCCAUCUAGAAUUAACUUGUAUGCAGGGAGUGGGGUACGAGUAAACCUUUAUGUUUUUUCCUAUGUAGACAUCUGGUGGGCCCAGUACCAUUUAUUGAAAGUACCAUUUUUUCCCUUACUGUGGUACAGUGAUGUGCUGUGCUGAGUUGCUCAGUCAUGUCCAACUCUUUGCUACCCCAUGGACUGUAGCCCUCUAGGCUCCUCUGUCCAUGGGGAUUCUCCAGGCAAGAAUACUGGAGUAAUUUGCCAUGCCUUCCUCCAGGGGAUCUUCCCGACCCUGGAAUUGAACCAGGGUCUCCUGCAUUGCAGGUGGAUUCUUUUUUUUUUUUUAAACUUUACAUAAUUGUAUUAGUUUUGCCAAAUAUCAAAAUGAAUCCACCACAGGUAUACAUG